rnacentral:rRNA from 1 species
UACGGAGGGUGCAAGCGUUGCUCGGAAUUAUUGGGCGUAAAGGGUAGGUAGGUGGUCUCAUUUGUCCGGGGUGAAAGCCUUGAGCUUAACUCAAGAAGUGCCCCGGAAACGGUGAGACUGGAGUCCUGGAGAGGUGAGUGGAAUUCCCGGUGUAGCGGUGAAAUGCGUAGAGAUCGGGAGGAACACCAGAGGCGAAGGCGGCUCACUGGACAGGUACUGACACUCAACUACGAAAGCGUGGGGAGCAAACAGG